rnacentral:rRNA from 1 species
ACGAACGCUGGCGGCGUGCUUAACACAUGCAAGUCGAGCGGUAAGGCCCCUUCGGGGGGUACACGAGCGGCGAACGGGUGAGUAACACGUGGGUGACCUGCCCUCAGCUCUGGGAUAAGCCUGGGAAACCGGGUCUAAUACUGGAUAUGACUCCAUGACGCAUGUUGUGGGGUGGAAAGCCUUGUGCGGCUGAGGAUGGGCCCGCGGCCUAUCAGCUUGUUGGUGGGGNGAUGGCCUACCAAGGCGACGACGGGUAGCCGGCCUGAGAGGGCGACCGGCCACACUGGGACUGAGACACGGCCCAGACUCCUACGGGAGGCAGCAGUGGGGAAUCUUGCGCAAUGGGCGAAAGCCUGACGCAGCGACGCCGCGUGAGGGAUG